rnacentral:rRNA from 1 species
UACGUAGGGUGCAGGCGUUAAUCGGAAUUACUGGGCGUAAAGCGUGCGCAGGCGGUUAUGCAAGACAGAUGUGAAAUCCCCGGGCUCAACCUGGGAACUGCAUUUGUGACUGCAUAGCUAGAGUACGGUAGAGGGGGAUGGAAUUCCGCGUGUAGCAGUGAAAUGCGUAGAUAUGCGGAGGAACACCGAUGGCGAAGGCAAUCCCCUGGACCUGUACUGACGCUCAUGCACGAAAGCGUGGGGAGCAAACAGG